rnacentral:rRNA from 1 species
CUAGGGAGGCAGCAGUGGGGAAUAUUGGACAAUGGGCGAAAGCCUGAUCCAGCCAUGCCGCGUGUGUGAAGAAGGCCUUCGGGUUGUAAAGCACUUUCAGUGGGGAAGAAAGCCUUGGGGCUAAUACCCUCGAGGAAGGACAUCACCCACAGAAGAAGCACCGGCUAACUCCGUGCCAGCAGCCGCGGUAAUACGGAGGGUGCGAGCGUUAAUCGGAAUUACUGGGCGUAAAGCGCGCGUAGGCGGUCUGAUAAGCCGGUUGUGAAAGCCCCGGGCUCAACCUGGGAACGGCAUCCGGAACUGUCAGGCUAGAGUGCAGGAGAGGAAGGUAGAAUUCCCGGUGUAGCGGUGAAAUGCGUAGAGAUCGGGAGGAAUACCAGUGGCGAAGGCGGUCUUCUGGACUGACACUGACGCUGAGGUGCGAAAGCGUGGGUAGCAAACAGGAUUAGAUACCCUUGUAGUC